rnacentral:rRNA from 1 species
UGGGGAAUUUUGGACAAUGGGGGAAACCCUGAUCCAGCCAUCCCGCGUGUGCGAUGAAGGCCUUCGGGUUGUAAAGCACUUUUGGCAGGAAAGAAACGUCGCGGGUUAAUACCCCGCGAAACUGACGGUACCUGCAGAAUAAGCACCGGCUAACUACGUGCCAGCAGCCGCGGUAAUACGUAGGGUGCAAGCGUUAAUCGGAAUUACUGGGCGUAAAGCGUGCGCAGGCGGUUCGGAAAGAAAGAUGUGAAAUCCCAGAGCUUAACUUUGGAACUGCAUUUUUAACUACCGGGCUAGAGUGUGUCAGAGGGAGGUGGAAUUCCGCGUGUAGCAGUGAAAUGCGUAGAUAUGCGGAGGAACACCGAUGGCGAAGGCAGCCUCCUGGGAUAACACUGACGCUCAUGCACGAAAGCGUGGGGAGCAAACAGGAUUAGAUACCCUGGUAGUCCACGCCCUAAACGAUGUCAACUAGCUGUUGGGGGCCUUUCGGGCCUUGGUAGCGCAGCUAACGCGUGAAGUUGACCGCCUGGGGAGUACGGUCGCAAGAUUAAAACUCAAAUGAAUUGACGGGGUCAUAGCUG